GAGACAUCAGUGGCACCCAAGCAAACCUGGGAAAGCAGUGGAGACUUCCACUCCCCGGGAGAUCCUGAGGACCAACUCUCCUUACCAGUCUCCUGAUUGUUCACCUUCCUUCAGCUUUGGCGGCUGGCGUCCCCAGAGUCAGCAUCAGGGUUACUGGAGACAGGCUGUCUGCCAUCGGAGGACAACCUUUUCUCACGUGUGUCAUGGGCCAGACUUCUGACUUAUGGAAGGUGCUGCGGGCACUACUGUUCCGAGGAAAGGAGAAAGCCCAUGUUUUGAAGUGGUUUGUGACCAGCACUGAUGAUGAUUCUGUAGUUUUGGACACCACUGGAGUGGUCAGCAAAGAACUCUUCCCAUUUGGAUUUACCGAUGCCUCUUCCUGACCAAGUACAUCCCAAGGUUACGUUCACUCAGAAGACUCAUCCACUAUUCAUCAGUGAGGAUUUACUCACAUGGUCACCCAGGGAGUGAGAGAGCCUUGCUCUCAACGUUUCCACUAUGGUGGAGCUAGAAUGGGGAAUGUAGCCAGAGCAUGCUGGCUUUUAAAACUGCUAUCAGGAAUUGGUAGUGAUAUUAAUUCCCUACAUUUCACUGGUAAAGCAAGUCACAUAUUUGUUAUCCUUUCCUGUGACCAAAUA